ACGAACGCUGGCGGCGUGCUUAACACAUGCAAGUCGAACGGAAAGGCCCUGCUUUUGUGGGGUGCUCGAGUGGCGAACGGGUGAGUAACACGUGAGUAACCUGCCCUUGACUUUGGGAUAACUUCAGGAAACUGGGGCUAAUACCGGAUAGGAGCUCCUGCUGCAUGGUGGGGGUUGGAAAGUUUCGGCGGUUGGGGAUGGACUCGCGGCUUAUCAGCUUGUUGGUGGGGUAGUGGCUUACCAAGGCUUUGACGGGUAGCCGGCCUGAGAGGGUGACCGGCCACAUUGGGACUGAGAUACGGCCCAGACUCCUACGGGAGGCAGCAGUGGGGAAUAUUGCACAAUGGGCGGAAGCAUGAUGCAGCAACGCCGCGUGCGGGAUGACGGCCUUCGGGUUGUAAACCGCUUUCGCCUGUGACGAAGCGUGAGUGACGGUAAUGGGUAAAGAAGCACCGGCUAACUACGUG
rnacentral:rRNA from 1 species